GGUGAGAUUCCCGAGCGGUCAAAGGGAGCAGACUGUAACUCUGCCACGUAAGUUUCGAAGGUUCGAAUCCUUCUCUCACCACCA
rnacentral:tRNA from 1 species